rnacentral:lncRNA from 1 species
UUUUUUUUGGUUUUUCAAAUACAAAAUGGGAAGUAAUAUCACAAAAGAAUCGAUAUUACUGUACAAGACCAGAAAGUAAAAGACAACAUGAAUGACAGACUCAAAACAUAAAAGUAUCUAUAAGCAGCUCCUAAAUGCAGUGGUCCUGGGUAUUUGUCAUGCUUGAGAUCUGGUACAUUGAUCCACACCUGAAUGAGAAAAAUAAGACCAAAUAGAUCGGUGACUCAAGGCACUAUGCGACGCCACAACACCUCCUACUGGACACAUGCAAGACAUAAUCGGGCUACUUUUGCAAAAUUAACCUAUGUGGCAAAGGAUGACUAGAAGUGUAUAUUCAACAAGAUUGACCUCAAAGAUAUGGAAAUACCUCGCUAAAGCUUAUAUGGAUUCAACUCCUAAUAAUCAUGGCCCAAAAUAAUUUGCAGAAAUGAUCCAUUUUGCAAAACGGCCGAUAUGGCCAGAAAUGGCUAAAGAUGCAAACUCAAUAAGGACGGACGUUAAAGUAAUAUGACACCUAGUUGUGGACUUAAGAUCCUAAGACAUGAGUUAUUGAACCACUUUUGCGAAAAUGACCCCAUUUUACAAGAAUGACCGAUGUGACCAAAAGUGGCUAGAUAUGCAAGAUUUGGCUAAGACCCCGCAAAGCCAAGAAUCUAAAACUUACUAAGAAGACCGGACCCUAUGUGGGCUGCCGACGUAUUCCGCCCCGAAAGACGAGAAUCAGGUAUGCGUAGUUCGGGAAGAUUGGAUAUGGGAGAAAGCUUAAAAAUGACACUAAUUUGGAAAAAAUAUAUUUUUUGUCUUUUUCUUUUAAAAAAAAUGAUGAAAAAUAUAAAAUCUUUUUUGAUUUUCUUUUUCUCAUUUUUUUUGAAUUUUUGAAAAAUGAUGGAAAAUGUAAAAAAAAAUUGGAUUUUCUUUUUCAAUUUUUUUUUUGUUUUUUUUCUCGAAAAAGUUGUGAAAGAAAACUAUAACUAGGCCCUACUUGCUUCAUUUUUCACCCUUCUUUCCCAAACAUUGAUCCGCCAAAUGACUUUUUUACCCUCAAAGAUGCAACAUGUAUCACAUAGGGAUGAUUAAAUGUCUUUUUGGGCCACGGGCCCAUUUUGACAAAAUUUGGAUAAGCUUCCUACAAAGGGAUACGGUACCUGGGACCGAGCCCUACUAGGUCUAAAUGACAUGAUGCAAAUAAAAAUGAUCUAAAGGCUAACCUAAGUUUGUGGUUCACUAACAAGGCAAUUCGGGGGAGCGUAUGGUCGAUGGUGGCUGCUCAAGCUUUCCAUCCACUCCAUAAGUCCGACGGCCCCCCUCCUAAAUUAAGGGUUACUCAACAAAGAAUUCGUGCACGCGACGCGUACUCCGAGACUUGUUGCAAAAAGAAGACCCAUGGUUAUGCAAAUAAUGACAGUUUAUAAAGCAGUAACACAUUAAGAAAAGCGAUAAACAAAUAACCAACAAAACAAGGAAAUAAGACAAACAAAGCAAAUAAAGAAAACAAACACCUCAACCAAAUAUCCUAAAAGCCAACAAGAUCAAGUGUCAGCUCGAACCUGCAAGUCCCCAGCGGAGUCGCCAGAGAUGUCACACCAUUUUUUUUUACAAAACUCGCUAACCUCUCUAAAAUAAAUAAAAAUAUUUAGUAAAGCUCGAAAAAGGGGUUUUAAUUAAAAAGUGACAAAAUUUGUGUUCAAAAGGAAAUAACUCAGAGUCACCACCUGACAUUGGUUUCGGUGUGCCAGGUCACCAUUUUUUUUAAAAAUAAUUUUUCCUUUAAAACACUUUGGACUCCAAAACUAAGUCCGCACCAGAGAUUUGGGUAAGGGGUUCAUUUGACUCAGGGAGAAGGUGUUAAGCACUCCCCAAGUCCCGUGAAAGUCACGGUUGCGUACUCGGUCUAGUUGGCUUUUAAAAUAUUCAAGUUGAGGUAAAAUCACGGGAAAGCAAAAUAAACACACACGAGGCUCGAGGUCGUCCCCACCUAAUAAAAAGAAAAUAAAAAUGAAAAUGAAAAUGAAAAUAAAAAUAAAAAUAAAAAUACUACGAAUUCUAUUAUCGAUCUCCAAGUACAAAUACUUCGGGGCAUACCCCGGAAUAAAAUAUAUACAAAUCCUUCGGGGCAUUCCCCGGAUAAAUUUAACUAAAGGAACGACCUCUCGCCUCAAAACUAACAAAAAUCCUAAAGUUUGCCUACCCAGGUGCUACCGGACCUAAACAUGCUCUUAGCGAUUAAAUUCAUAAAUGGAUAAAGUAAAAGAAGCAAGAUUAUUUAAGCUCAAUUUCUUUCACAUUUUAAAAGCCAACCCCCUAUAACCCAUUUGCUCUAACAAUUCAUAUUACUAGAAUUUAUCCUACUUCAAUUCUUGAUUACUUUUCUGCCUAAAUAUUCUCUUAUCCAACAGAUACAAUUAGGAAUAAAGCCAACAGACAAACCAUAACUAAAUAUUUAUCAAAUGAAUUUCAAGUAAUAAGUAAACUAGGCACAAAUAAACAUAGUAGAGAAAUUAAUUAAAGUAAGUACUGAAAUAAUGUCAAAUUAGGAGGAGAAAGAGAAAUGGACCUCACUUAAGGUAGGAGCUUCUCCAAUUUUAAUUAAAAUUCCCAGCAAGAUGUACAACAAAUAAUCUGUCUCAAUUGAAUUGUGAUCGAACCACAACCGAAACUCGGAUCCACAACCUCGAACGACGAACUCACUAGGAACUCAACUGCAAGCUUUUGCCGAAACUCGGAUCUCUCAACCAAACCACAUUUCACUGCUUAGUGUCGAAUUAAUUUGAGGUCUAAGAGUUCUGAUUACUGAGGCAAAGCGUCGAGCAUGCGAACUGCAAACUUAUGAAAACCCUCAAAGCUGAGCACGGUGGAGGGUGGUGGCGGAGUUGGCGGCUGUCGUCGGUCAACAAGGAAAUGAAAAGAGAAUUGAAGUUUGAAAAGGAAGAUGACGUGUUUCAAUGUUUUUAAAAUAUCUAGUGGUCUGCUAGAAAUAAAAAGAAGAAAAAGUGGAGUCAGUUGUCAGCGAAUUCCUUAAUUUUGUCACUGUUUCAUCCCCCUCGUUUUCUCUAAGUUUUUUUUUCCAUUUCUUUGUGUCCGUCCCUUUUCUGUGUGCAUGUGUCCGGGUGUUCUUGUGUGAAGAUGGCUGCCUUCUUUUGUAAGGGAGAAAAAGAGGAUGUGAAGGUGCUCCCUCUCAAGAAUGAGGUUGAGAGCAUUUUAUACUAGGGUUUUCAAAAUGUAGUCUCUUUAUUAUUCAAGACAAAAAGAAAAUAUAUAAAAUAUAUAGCAAAUAUAGAAAGCAAAAUAAAGUAUGCAUUUUGAAUCUGUUCUUGGAAACAG